rnacentral:lncRNA from 1 species
GUAAAAGAGCUGGGGUCUACUUAAGAUAAAAGACUCUGAUGCACCAGAGGCUUAGCCUUCACCUUUCUCCAUGGGACUAACUUGCCAGAACAAGCUGUUCCUCAACAAGAGAACACAUCAUCUCCCAGAACUUUCAAAACUUCUUCCAGUUCUCACAGGAGCAAAUGCCUGGAGUUUUCCCACUUUCCACGUCAGGAGGUUUACCUACUUUCAGAACAUGCUGCUCUACAGACAUCUGAAGCUACAAACAUUGGAAUACCUGGCUCCUAAGUUUAGAAACAGCACUGGCUGAAACUUGCUUCUUUGGAAACAAACCAGGCCCCAUUCCAGGAGGAUUUUCACGUGGAAGGUGAAUGGACACCAACCAGAGACUAGAGACAUUGAGAACAGGGACCCCCUGUGUUGCUCCAUCUCCUGAGUGAGAGGGCAAGUGUGCUUUUAAGCGUGGGAUAUUUGAAUUCUUCUGUGUGAGGUUUCUUUGAAACUCUGCAUUUCCACUCACGAAACAAAUGGUGCCAUAGGAUGCCUGGCACUAAGGCAUAUAAACGAUUUACUGAAACCUUGACAUUUGUGCUAUCUCACAACAUGUGUACUUCAAGGCGAUACUAGAGCAUUGUAAUAAAGUG